GUGCCUGUAAACUGUGAACACUAUGAAUAUGGCCAAUAUAAUAAAAAGAGCAGUCAGAUUUGAUGGAAACAUUGGUAAUCAGAUUUUCUAGUAAACUUUUGCAAGGAGUGUUUGUGCUCCUGUUCAGUAUAUAAUCAGGAGGUUGUGGUAUUGUACAGUCCCAUUUCCAGCAAAGUUACAUUCAACUGCAUCUGGUUUCUCCGUGUCUUCAUUCAAAAAAUAUGACAGUCAGAACAAGAGCGUAGCAGUGACACAAAGCAUGGGGACAUUUCAAAAGUCUGGCAGGUCAUCUUCAGUAAUUGAUCAUAAUUAUAGCCUUUUUUUUCUGAAAUUUGUUAAGCUGGUUGAUUUUUGCCAUCAUUUUCAUGAGUUUCAUGGGGUAAGAAUGUGUGGUAGGAAGACUGGGUAUGGGUAAAUAGAAAACAGAUUGUGGAUCAGCAUUCUCUGUGGAAACAUUUUACUAAAUUUUACUUAUUUUAGUAUCAAGGAUUUGGUAAUGUGGUUCUGAGCAUAAACCAUCUGGGCAGAAGUUAAUAAAGUAGAUUUUUAAAUGUCAAGUAUUUAUAGAAAUUACAGAUUAGAUUACAUGUAAUUGACUACGUCCUUUAGAUUGACAAGUUAGGAUGAUCUUAUUUUCAAUAACCUUUUAUGUUUAAGGCAUUUCUUUAAUGGUUUGAGUUGCAGUUUAAAAAUAGAAAGUCUAUGCAUGUGCUUCUGCUUGCUAGGGUACUGCAAACUUGAUUUCUGAGGUUGCUGACAGCUUCUGAAAGAUUUAGGAACUGUCAGCAGGAAACAUUCCCAUAGAAUCUGUACUGUGAACUCUUUCUGGAAAAACAGCAUCAUUUAACAGACAUCCAGCACCCUUCAUCAAAGCACAGUGCUCUCAGAGGCCGUGGUGUAACCUACGUGGAGCGGGGUGUUCCCUCCCACCCACAGAUGUGCCCUCCUGCUGCCUCCCCUGCAUGGGUGCUGCAGCUCAUGUGGCUGCACAGCUGAGACAGACACAGCCACCAAUCCUUCUGGAAACCAACCCAGCCCAGCAAAGAUUUGUCUCCAGCCAGAUACCUGAUGUAUUACUUCAGCACCAAAUUCAACAAGGCCAAGAUGUCUUCAUUUUCGUUCAGAGCAAGAACUGUAGGAGCAGUGUGAUGGAAGUAUUGGUCUUCUGCGGCCAGCCGGCGAGAACCCAUCAACAGCUGUGA
rnacentral:lncRNA from 1 species